CGGAACAUAGCUCAGUAGUGCAGAGCAACUGGCUUAUAUCCAGCGUGUCGGUGGUUCAAUCCCAUCUGUUCCGA
rnacentral:tRNA from 1 species